rnacentral:rRNA from 1 species
CUGGGAAACUGGGGAUAAUACUGGAUACUAGGCUAUGCCUGGAAUGGUUUGCCUUUGAAAUGUUUUUUCGCCUAAGGAUAGAUCUGCGGCUGACUAGGUCGUUGGUGGGGUAAUGGCCCACCAAGCCGAUGAUCGGUACGGGUUGUGAGAGCAAGAGCCCGGAGAUGGAACCUGAGACAAGGUUCCAGACCCUACGGGGUGCAGCAGGCGCGAAACCUCCGCAAUGUACGAAAGUGCGACGGGGGGAUCCCAAGUGUCAUGCUUUUUUGUAUGACUUUUCAUUAGUGUAAAAAGCUUUUAGAAUAAGAGCUGGGCAAGACCGGUGCCAGCCGCCGCGGUAACACCGGCAGCUCGAGUGGUAGCUGUUUUUAUUGGGCCUAAAGCGUUCGUAGCCGGUUUGAUAAGUCUUUGGUGAAAGCUUGUAGCUUAACUAUAAGAAUUGCUGGAGAUACUAUUAGACUUGAAGUCGGGAGAGGUUAGAGGUACUACCGGGGUUAGGGUGAAAUCCUAUAAUCCUGGGAGGGACACCUGUGGCGAAGGCGUCUAACUGGAACGAUCUUG